AUUGAACGCUGGCGGCAUGCCUUACACAUGCAAGUCGAACGGCAGCACGGGAGUUCAGGCAACUGAGCCCUCGGUGGCGAGUGGCGAACGGGUGAGUAAUGCAUCGGAACGUGCCCAGUAGUGGGGGAUAACGUAGUCGAAAGAUUAGCUAAUACCGCAUACGACCUAUGGGUGAAAGCGGGGAUUUUCGGGCAACCGAGAACCUCGCGCUAUCGGAGCGGCCGAUGUCGUAUUAGC
rnacentral:rRNA from 1 species